rnacentral:rRNA from 1 species
UACGAAGGGUGCAAGCGUUACUCGGAAUUACUGGGCGUAAAGCGUGCGUAGGUGGUUUUUAAGUCCGUUGUGAAAGCCCUGGGCUCAACCUGGGAAUGGCAGUGGAUACUGGAAAGCUAGAGUGCGGUAGAGGGUAGUGGAAUUCCCGGUGUAGCAGUGAAAUGCGUAGAUAUCGGGAGGAACACCAGUGGCGAAGGCGGCGAUCUGGGCAGAUACUGACGCUGAGGUGCGAAAGCGUGGGAGCGAACCGG